GGCUGUUGCUGGUCCUCGAAUGGGGACAUGUGCACGCUCUGUUUACACAUCCACUCACACCUGUGCACCCUCUGUAGUUUUACGGUCUGGGGGACCCUGUCUUCCUUCUGUAGUUCUACGUCUUUACACACACACUGUAAUAAAGUCUUAUGGAAUGUAUGCCGCGUCUAACGCAACACAAUACAACUUUCAGCAACGGAUCUCUUGGCUCUCGCAUCGAUGAAGAACGCAGCGAAAUGCGAUAAGUAAUGUGAAUUGCAGAAUUCAGUGAAUCAUCGAAUCUUUGAACGCACCUUGCGCCCCUUGGAUAUUCCGAGGGGCAUGCCUGUUUGAGUAUCAUGAACACCUCAACUCUCAUGGUUUGCCGUGACGAGCUUGGACCUUGGGGGUUUUGCUGGCCUGUGGUCGGCUCCUCUCAAAUGAAUCAGCCUCCCAGUGUUUGGUGGCAUCACGAGUGUGAUAACUAUCUACUCUCGCGGUUGCCCACCAGGUAACCUUUGGUGACAAAGGUUCGCUGGAGCUCACAGAUGUCUCUCCUUAGCGAGGACAGCUUUUUAACGUUCGAUCUCAAAUCAGGUAGGACUACCCGCUGAACUUAAGCAUAUCAAUAAGCGGAGGAAAAGAAACUAACAAGGAUUCCCCUAGUAACUGCGAGUGAAGCGGGAAGAGCUCAAAUUUAAAAUCUGGCGUGCCUCUGGUCGUCCGAGUUGUAGUCUARARAAGUGUUUUCCGUGCUGGACCGUGUACAAAGUCUCC
rnacentral:rRNA from 1 species